UACGUAGGGGACAAGCGUUGUCCGGGCUUAUUGGGCGUAAAGCGCGCGCAGGUGGUUUCUUAAGUCUGAUGUGAAAGCCCACGGCUCAACCGUGGAGGGUCAUUGGAAACUGGGGAACUUGAGUGCAGAAGAGGAAAGUGGAAUUCCAAGUGUAGCGGUGAAAUGCGUAGAUAUUUGGAGGAACACCAGUGGCGAAGGCGACUUUCUGGUCUGUAACUGACACUGAGGCGCGAAAGCGUGGGGAGCAAACAGG
rnacentral:misc_RNA from 1 species